CUCCACCCCCGAAUACCCCGAGGCAACUCACCGUCCCGCAGCUUGUCAGCAGAGGAAACGCUGCUGCAGGAACGGCCGCCUCAGCAGCUGGUUGGCGCACCCUGUCAGAGGAGGCCCACCGUGUACAAGUAAGUCACAAAACGCCCAGGGCCACGAAGGAAAAUCGCCAGACGUCCUACCUGGGAAUCAGGGCCUGCUUCUUCAAGGACAGGGAGACCAGGGGCUGGCUUGUGUGGGGAAGGAGUGGAAGGUAUGCUAUGAAAACAGAGGAAAUACAUCCAAAGAUCUAUGUGCCAUUGUUCAUACUGGGGAAGGUCACAUUCCUAACUGCUCAAAAAUAAGAGUAACAGACCAUCGAUUCCUCAACACCACACACACAGAAAAAGCUGGAAAUGGUGCUGUGGCUCAAGAGGAAGAGUGCUAGCCUUGAGCAUAAAGAAGCCAGGAACAGUGCUCAGGCCCUGAAUCCCAAGCCCCAGGACUGGCAAAAAAAACAAAACAAAACACAAGAGUAACAGACCAAACUUUGGCCAAGCUCCCCUGAAUCUUCCCAAUUGGACUUUGUGUUGCUCAGUUUCAACACCAAUCUUGUUAGAUAAGUUCCCACCCUGGAUUUCUGACCUAAAUCCUCAUCCCCCAUCAUACCCCCAGGGGGCUGGAUCUACCCUGGCCUGCCUUUCAGCAAGGGUCUUGUUAGAUCAAAUUAGCCAAGAAUUACCCUGCCCUCACUAGUAUUCCAUCUACCUAUAGCACCCUCCAACUCCUUUGAUAUAAAUGCCUUCUUUUCCUUAUUGUCUAAAGAAUUGAGCCUAUUUCACUUUUCCCCUGUUGCAAUUCAAUUAUUCCUGAAUAAAAUCUGUUU